UACGGAGGGUGCGAGCGUUGUCCGGAAUCACUGGGCGUAAAGGGCGCGUAGGCGGCAUGCCAAGCGUGUGGUGAAAGCCCGGGGCUCAACCCCGGGUCGGCCGUGCGGACUGGCGUGCUCGAGCACUGUAGGGGCGGGUGGAAUUCCGGGUGUAGCGGUGGAAUGCGUAGAGAUCCGGAAGAACAUCGGUGGCGAAGGCGCUCUGCUGGACCAUAACUGACACUCAGGGACGAAAGCUAGGGGAGCGAAUGGG
rnacentral:rRNA from 1 species